CCUACGGGUGGCAGCAGUGAGGAAUAUUGGUCAAUGGGCGAGAGCCUGAACCAGCCAAGUCGCGUGAGGGAGUACUGCCCUAUGGGUUGUAAACCUCUUUUGUCGGGGAGCAAAAGCCGGACGUGUCCGGCUGUGAGAGUACCCGAAGAAAAAGCAUCGGCUAACUCCGUGCCAGCAGCCGCGGUAAUACGGAGGAUGCGAGCGUUAUCCGGAUUUAUUGGGUUUAAAGGGUGCGCAGGCGGAUUUUUAAGUCAGCGGUAAAAUCGUGGGGCUCAACCCCAUCCAGCCGUUGAAACUGGGGAUCUAGAGUGUGCGAGAGGUAUGCGGAAUGCGUGGUGUAGCGGUGAAAUGCAUAGAUAUCAUGCAGAACCCCGAUUGCGAAGGCAGCAUACCGGUGCACAACUGACGCUCAGGCACGAAAGCGUGGGUAUCGAACAGGAUUAGAUACCCCAGUAGUC
rnacentral:rRNA from 1 species